rnacentral:misc_RNA from 1 species
AAUGCAGUUCCAGUGAUUAUGCUCCCAAGAAAUACAUUAAUAAAUUGGAAAAUAUAGUAUCUAGUUGCAGAUCUUCUCUCUAGCCCUGACAGGCUGAUGAAUCCUUCAAAUUUAGACAUUAACAUCAAUAUUGAAGGUAGAAAUAUAAGAAAUAUCUUCAAAGCAAUUCCCGGAAGGAAACCUUGAAUGAAUGACUUUAUGGCUUUCCUGCAUGAAAAAUAAAAAGUCUUUUGAAGUAAGUCAGUCAAAGAAAAGACAAUUC